UACUGAAGCUGAUUCAGGUUAACUGUUACUGAAGCUGAUUCAGGUUAACUGCUACUGAAGCUGAUUCAGGUUAACUGUUACUGAAGCUGAUUCAGGUUAACUGUUACUGAAGCUGAUUCAGGUUAACUGUUACUGAAGCUGAUUCAGGUUAACUGCUACUGAAGCUGAUUCAGGUUAACUGUUACUGAAGCUGAUUCAGGUUAACUGCUACUGAAGCUGAU